AACCUUAUGGACCUGCGGGCGUAUACCUGCGGAAGGAUCAUUACAGAGUUGCAAAACUCCCCAAACCAUCGUGAACCCACCCCUAAACAGUUGCUUCGGCGGCGCGCCCCGGCGCCCGCCGGAGCCCCCUAAACUCUUGUUUUUACCGAACCGGCCUCUCUGAGUACUGUACUUUUAAUAAGUCAAAACUUUUAACAACGGAUCU
rnacentral:misc_RNA from 1 species